AUGCAGCAUCCGCAAGCAGCUGAUGAAGCGGUACCCACAUCAUUUGCAUCCACCGCCGCCGGAGGUCCACCUCCGCCGCCGAUGCCGCCGCCGACCACCGCGGGCACACUCUCGAACAGGGCUCUCCACGCCCGCCUCCUCCGCUCCGGCGCCCUCGACGCCGACCCCUCAGCCGCCGCCCCGCUCGCCGCGUCGGCCGCUAACUCUUCCCUCCCCUACGCGCUCUCCCUCCUCCGAGCCCACCCCUCCACCUUCUCCUACAACACCACCAUCCGCUCCCUCGCGCACGGCCCCCGCCCCCACCUCGCCGUCGCUCUCUACCGCUCCAUGCUUCUCGGCCCCCUCUCCAACCCCAACAACUACACCUACCCGCCCCUCCUCGCCGCCUGCGCCCGCCUCCUCCCCGCGAGCUCACCCACCGCAGCAGCCGCACCGGGCACCGCCGUCCACGCCUCCCUCUUCCGCCGCGGCCUCGACUCCCGCGACCGCUUCAUCGGCGCGUCACUCCUCUCCUUCUACGCGGCCGCCGGGGACCUGCCCGCCGCACGCCAGGUGUUCGACGCAAGUCCCCCCGGCCAAAGGGACCUGCCUCUCUGGAACUCGCUCCUCCACGCCCACCUCUCCCAGGGCUUCUACACCCACGUGCUGCGCCUCUCGCGCCAGAUGCCCGCCGCCGACGAGGUCACGCUGCUCGCCCUCGUCUCCGCCUGCGCGCACCUUGGCGCGCUCGACACUGGCCGCUGGGCGCAUGCUUCCUAUGCAAGGACCCGCCGGAGUACCACCAGGAAUCUGGGCACCGCCCUGCUCAACAUGUACAUGAGGUGCGGAGAUGUCGAGAGCGCGUGGUCCGUGUUCCGGGAGACGCUCGACAAGGAUGUCCGGACGUGGAGUGUCAUGAUCGCCGGGCUGGCCAUCAACGGGCUCCCCAGGGACGCGCUGGCCUUGUUCGCUGAGAUGAAGAACACAGGCGUGGACCCAGAUUCCAUCACCAUGACCGCCGUGCUGAGCGCGUGCGCCCAUGCUGGCAUGGUGGAUGAGGGCAAGAAGUUCCUGGACUGUAUGCCUGUCGAAUAUCGUGUGCAGCCCACCAUAGAGCAUUAUGGCUGCGUCGUCGAUCUGCUUGGUCGAGCAGGGCAGCUGGAGGAGGCAUUGGCUCUCAUUAAGGCUGUCCCGUUCCAGGCUGAUGUUGUCCUAUGGGGUGCUCUCUUGGUUGCCUGUAGGGUUCACAAGAAUGUCGACAUGGGCGAGAUGGCUGCCAUGGAGAUACUCAAGUUGGAUCCUCAGCAUGCUGGGGCAUGCGUGUUCUUAUCUAAUGUCUAUGCUGAUGCUGGGAAAUGGGACCUUGUACAAGGGGUAAGGAGCUCAAUGAAAGAACAUAAGAUAUACAAGCCUCCAGGAUCCAGCAUUGUUGAGCUAAAUGGUGUGGUUUACGAGUUCUUGUCCGGGGACCGUUCACAUCCUCAGUGUGAUCGAAUAUAUGCAAUGCUUGAUGAGAUUUGCAAGACUUUAAGCCUCAAGGGCUACAAGCCUUUAACUAAAGAAGUCACCUUUGACGUUGAUGAGGAGGACAAAGAAGUUUGCAUCUCGCAGCACAGCGAGAAACUCGCGCUUGCCUUGGGACUCAUAAGCACGACAAGAGGGGCUGUCAUCCGCAUAGUGAAGAACCUGAGAAUCUGCGAGGAUUGUCACUCUGUCAUGAAGAUAGUCUCAGCGGUCUACGAUCGGGUCAUAGUUGUCAGGGAUCGAAACCGAUUCCACCACUUCAAGAACGGCUCCUGUUCCUGCUUGGACUAUUGGUAG
rnacentral:rRNA from 1 species